CUAAUAUUCAAACUCACGUACGCAUGAACGGAACACACAAACCGAACGCCUAUUUUGGUGGAAUGGGAAUCGCUCCACUUCGGUUCAAUGCGAUAUUUUGCUUGGGUUUAAACACGAUAGAAAUUAGGUUUUAAACUCUAUUUUCGUUCACCCAAAACAGAGAACCAACGAGAGAGAGAGAGAGAGCACGUAUACGGCGUAUACGGUACCGAAAACUUUCGUUUCUUCAAGCGGAGUGAAACCUGGGUGAACGUGGGGGUUUGGGAUCACUUUUAUACGACCUAAGGAAGCUUUUUAACGUGGUAUAAGGGGCGGAAGUCGUCGUUUUGAGAUUCGCCAUUUUUGAAGCUUCAAAGGUGCGGCUUAGUUACGGACUCGAAUUCGAACGUGUUUAAGCUUGUUCUUGGGUCAAGGGAGGUUAUAUUUGAGUGCAUGGGACCCUAAGGAUUGUUUUUGACGUAAGAAAACGAAGCUUUAACGUCCAAAACGAAAAUCCAAAAUUUUGGACUCCAUUAAAGACGGUACACCGCCAACGAAGAAGACAACCCCGAUCUGCCCUCUCGGACCACUUUUCUUGAUCGUUUUGAGGUCCUGAGCAUUGUGGAGAGCUUCCCCAAUCGAAAGGACGCUUCAAGAGCCAUCGGAGACAAAGUUACACUUUACCGGCGACGAAACCGACGAGAACUCCGACGACACUCCGUUCAGGGGUUUCUGGAGGAUCUUGUUCUCAACAAGGAAAUUCGUUGAGGUGCUCGAGGUAGCAAGUGUGGUCUUAGCAACUGAGGUAAGGGUAAGGCUAAGCAGUGAGAAUGAAGAGCUCGAGGCGUGGACCGCAUGUUAGGGGGGCUGGCACAGUAUUUUGCUUUUAAUGUUUUUUUAACUGCUAAACAUUUUGGAACUAUUAUUUUGACUUAACUAGUUCUUAUUUAAGUUUACAGUACUAAAAGUAUUUUGUUUUAAACAAUGAGAUCUCAUGCUUGGAUAUUUUUCAAUAAAGCAGUAUUUGAUUGUCUUUAUCUUAUUAAAUUGUUUUAUACGGACUAUCCUAUGUGACAUCUCGGGAAAUCGGGGUGUUACA